CUAAGAAUAUUCCGCAAUGGGAGUAAUCCUGACGGAGCGACGCCGCGUGAACGAUGAAGGCAGAAAUGUUGUAAAGUUCUUUUGUAUGUGACGAAUAAGGAUAGUGAGAGAAACGCUAUUUGAUGACUGUAACAUACGAAUAAGCCACGGCUAACUACGUGCCAGCAGCCGCGGUAAUACGUAGGUGGCAAGCGUUGUUCGGAAUUAUUGGGCGUAAAGGGCAUGUAGGUGGUUUGAUAAGUGUGAAUUGAAAGACCGAAGCUUAACUUCGUGUUUGGUUUGCAAACUAUCUUACUAGAGUACAGAAGGGGAGACUGGAAUUCCGCGUGUAGGGGUGAAAUCUGUAGAUAUGCGGAAGAAUACUUGUGGCGAAGGCGAGUCUCUGGUCUGUAACUGACGCUGAAAUGCGAAAGUGCGGGGAGCAAACA
rnacentral:rRNA from 1 species